GCACCACCACGAAUCUUUAGCCUGCAGACUCCUUUCAGUGGGCACAAAACCGCUAGGCUGCCACAGAGAGGCCCUGCUUUCCAUCAGAAUAUUACCCCUUCGUUUCCCCCUUCUUUAAACGCUAAACGGAGAGAACAGGCUUGGGCUGGGAUAAUGGGAUCUUUUCUCUCUCUCUGCCGCCGGGGGUGAAAACGGCAACAAUGGAGGCAAAAUGAUUUAAAGGGAGCUUUUUCACCUGCUCUCCUUCUUCUCCCAAGCUAUCUGUGUCUUUCAGAGGAUGCUAAUGCCAGCUAAUUUACCAAAAGCACCAAACCAGUGUCUACUUGUGGUUCGAGCAUUGGGCCAGUAACCGGAAGGAUGCUGGAUCGAAUCCCCGAGCUGACAAGGUCGCAAUUGUAAAGGAGAACUUGUUCUCAACUUGCCUACCUGGUUAAAUAAAGGUGGACUCCAAUGAAGUUGUAGAAAUCUCAAGGAUGAUCAAUGGAAACAGGAUGCACCUGAGCUCAAUUUCGAGUCUCAUAGCAAAGAGUCUGAAUACUUAUGUAAAUAAGGCCCAGGCAUGGAUCAAAGCUGGCGAGACGUUCAAUGAGCCAUCAUCGCAGACGAAUCAACCGUGGCCCUUGAGCAAUUAGCUCAAAAUUGCUACAGAAAAAAGUAAGAUCAAGCAAGCCAAGUCUCAAGCAUCCCUUCAAACUCCAUGUGUGGGGGGCAAUUUCUCGCCAGGGACCAGGCCCAUUUUUUAUGUUUGAUGGUAUCACGGCUCAAGAUUUCUUUGAGGAAGAAAUCUUCAAUAGGUAUACUUAACCCUAUGUCAGAGAGGUGUUUCUGGGACCACAUCGUUUCUUUCAAGACAAUGACCCAAACCAAAUUGAGGGACAACACUGGGCCAAUUGUGUGCCACCAUAUGGGUCUCUCAAUCACAGUUGGAUGAGAUACAGUCUGGAUUCAAACCAGGGACUCUAGUGAUGCCUCUUGCACUGAGAUGCAAUGUCUUAGACCACUGCGCCACUCGGGAGCCAUGACCAAUAGGACCAAUAUAUAUUCUCCAGCUAAUAGCCCAUCCUAGAAACAUGCUCGUGCUAUGCUUGUGAAAAACAUGGUUAAUAAUAAUAAUACUUUUUCCCCCUUCCACUUGUUAAAGUUUCCAAUUGAUAAAGUUUUUUUUAAUCAAUUAGUAUAUUUGAGUUUAACCACAAUAUUUGUUGUAUUAUUUGUUCUGUCUUUUCUGGUGGAUUAAACCAACUUUCUAUGGCUUGUUUUAAAAAAUAACAAUAUUUCGGAGAAUAUUUUAUUUUCAAAAAACCUAAAGUGAGCGAGAAAAAUGCCAUUCUUGAACAUGGGGUGAGACAUUGUUACUAAUUUGUAAAAAAAAGCCAGUUUGUUAUUUAGAAUGAUUUUUUUUCUGUUUAUAUUUUAUUUAUUUAUUCAUUUUUUACCCCUUUUUCUCCCCAAUUUCGUGGUAUCCAAUUGGUAGUUACAGUCCUGUCCCAUCGCUGCAACUCUCGUACGGACAUGGGAGAGGCGAAGGUCGAGAGCCGUGCGUCCUCUGAAACACAACCCAGCCAAGCCACUCUGCUUCUUGGCAACUGUAUCAGCGUGCAUUGCACCCAGCCCGCCACAGGAGUCACUAGUGCGUGAUGGGACAGGAACAUCCCUGCUGGCAAAAACGUUCCAUAACCCGGACGACGCUUGGCCAAUUGUGCGUAGUCCCAUGGGUCUCCCGGGUGCGACAGAGCCUGGACUCAAACCAGGAUCUCUAGUGACACAUCUAGCACUGUGAUGCAGUGUUUAUUUCUGUUUUUAAAGGGAGAGAAACCAAAAGCCUACUGUUGUCUCAUGGGUCUCAGCUGGCACGGGUAUCAAACCAGCAUCUGUAGCAACUCAGUUUGCACUGCGUUUGCACUGAGAUGCAGUGCCUUAGACCGCUGCGCCACAUGGGCGCUGUACAAUGUGACAGGUUGGGAGUAGGCUACAGUACUACAGUAAGAGAAAAAAUCAUCCUAACAUUUCCACUCCCUAAUUGUAGUCUAAGUUUCUCUUAGAAUAAAAACCUUAGUGUAACAACAGUUUUAGUAAGUAAUACUGAUGAGUAGUAUCAAAAAAAGAAGUGUAUUUUUUUCAGGUGCGCGUGCAGGACAUAGGAAUAGCAAUUCUUACACUAUUGUUCUAAAUUCAGUCACCUUCUUCAUCCUCAUCAUUCAGUUCAUUAAAAUUCAAUAAAAAUGUCAUAAUGAAAUCAUAUCACUGUGGAGUAAGCAACUUUUACCAAAC
rnacentral:lncRNA from 1 species